rnacentral:rRNA from 1 species
GAGUGGACGCUGGCGGUAGGCCUAACACAUGCAAGUCGAACGGCAGCACAGUAAGAGCUUGCUCUUACGGGUGGCGAGUGGCGGACGGGUGAGGAAUACAUCGGAAUCUACUUUUUCGUGGGGGAUAACGUAGGGAAACUUACGCUAAUACCGCAUACGACCUACGGGUGAAAGCAGGGGAUCUUCGGACCUUGCGCGAUUGAAUGAGCCGAUGUCGGAUUAGCUAGUUGGCGGGGUAAAGGCCCACCAAGGCGACGAUCCGUAGCUGGUCUGAGAGGAUGAUCAGCCACACUGGAACUGAGACACGGUCCAGACUCCUACGGGAGGCAGCAGUGGGGAAUAUUGGACAAUGGGCGCAAGCCUGAUCCAGCCAUACCGCGUGGGUGAAGAAGGCCUUCGGGUUGUAAAGCCCUUUUGUUGGGAAAGAAAAGCAGCAGGUUAAUACCCCGCUGUUCUGACGGUACCCAAAGAAUAAGCACCGGCUAACUUCGUG